rnacentral:rRNA from 1 species
UGACGGUACCCGAGGAGGAAGCACCGGCUAACUACGUGCCAGCAGCCGCGGUAAUACGUAGGUGGCGAGCGUUAUCCGGAAUGAUUGGGCGUAAAGGGUGCGUAGGUGGCACGAUAAGUCUGAAGUCAAAGCUGGCAGCUCAACUGUCAUACGCUUUGGAAACUGUCGAGCUAGAGUGCAGGAGAGGGCGAUGGAACUCCAUGUGUAGCGGUAAAAUGCGUAGAUAUAUGGAAGAACACCAGUGGCGAAGGCGGUCGCCUGGCCUGUUACUGACACUGAGGCACGAAAGCGUGGGGAGCAAAUAGGAUUAGAUACCCUAGUAGUCCACGCCCUAAACGAUGAGAACUAGGUGUUGGGGGAAUAACUCAGUGCCGCAGUUAACGCAAUAAGUUCUCCGCCUGGGGAGUAUGUACGCAAGUACGAAACUCAAAGGAAUUGACGGGGGCCCGCACAAGCGGUGGAGUAUGUGGUUUAAUUCGAAGCAACGCGAAGAACCUUACCAGGCCUUGACAUCCCUUGCAGAGAUAUAGAGAUAUAUCCGAGGUUAUCAAGGUGACAGGUGGUGCAUGGUUGUCGUCAGCUCGUGUCGUGAGAUGUUGGGUUAAGUCCCGCAACGAGCGCAACCCCUGUGAUAUGUUACCAAUAUUAAGUUAGGGACUCAUAUCAGACUGCCGGUGACAAACCGGAGGAAGGUGGGGAUGACGUCAAAUCAUCAUGCCCCUUAUGGCCUGGGCUACACACGUACUACAAUGGCAGUUACAAAGAGCAGCGAGACCGCGAGGUUAAGCGAAUCUCAUAAAGGCUGUCUCAGUUCGGAUUGAAGUCUGCAACCCGACUUCAUGAAGUUGGAAUCGCUAGUAAUCGCGGAUCAGCAUGCCGCGGUGAAUACGUUCUCGGGCCUUGUACUCACCGCCCGUCAA